CGUAGGUGGCAAGCGUUGUCCGGAAUUAUUGGGCGUAAAGCGCGCGCAGGCGGUCCUUUAAGUCUGAUGUGAAAGCCCACGGCUCAACCGUGGAGGGUCAUUGGAAACUAGGGGACUUGAGUACAGAAGAGAAGAGUGGAAUUCCACGUGUAGCGGUGAAAUGCGUAGAGAUGUGGAGGAACACCAGUGGCGAAGGCGACACUUUGGUCUGUAACUGACGCUGAGGCGCGAAAGCGUGGGGAGCAAACAGGAUUAGAUACCCUGGUAGUCCACGCUGUAAACGAUGAGUGCUAAGUGUUAGAGGGUUUCCGCCCUUUAGUGCUGCAGCUAACGCAUUAAGCACUCCGCCUGGGGAGUACGGCCGCAAGGCUG
rnacentral:rRNA from 1 species